rnacentral:rRNA from 1 species
ACUGCUAUCGGGGUGGGACUAAGACAUGCGAGUCGAGCGUCUCUAGCUAUGUUGAGACGCGGCAUACGGCUCAGUAACACGUGGCUAACCUACCCUCAGGACGGGGACAAACCCGGGAAACUGGGGCUAAUAUCCGAUAGGCGAGGAAUCCUGGAAUGGUUCUUCACCCAAAGGACAUUGGAAACAUGCUUUCUCUGUCGCCUGGGGAUGGGGCCGCGACCGAUCAGGUUGUUGGUGAGGUAAUGGCUCACCAAGCCUAUAACCGGUACGGGCCGUGAGAGCGGUAGCCCGGAGAUGGGUACUGAGACAAGGACCCAGGCCCUACGGGGCGCAGCAGUCGCGAAAACUCCGCAAUGCACGAAAGUGUGACGGGGCUACCCCGAGUGCCGUCCGCUGAGGAUGGCUUUUCCUUGGUGUAACUAGCCGGGGGAAUAAGGAGAGGGCAAGACUGGUGUCAGCCGCCGCGGUAAUACCAGCUCUCCGAGUGGUAGGGAUGAUUAUUGGGCUUAAAGCGUCCGUAGCCGGCUUAGCAAGUCUCCUGUUAAAUUCAGCGACCUAAUCGUUGACCCGCGGGAGAUACUACUAGGCUAGGAGGCGGGAGAGGUCGACGGUACUUCUGGGGUAGGGGUGAAAUCCUAUAAUCCCGGGAGGACCACCAGUGGCGAAGGCUGUCGACUAGAACGCGCUCGACGGUGAGGGACGAAAGCUGGGGGAGCGAACCGGAUUAGAUACCCGGAUAGUCCCAGCUGUAAACGAUGCGGGCUAGGUGUUGGGGUGGCUACGUGCCACUUCAGUGCCGCAGGGAAAGCCAUUAAGUCCGCCGCCUGGGGAGUACGGCCGCAAGGCUGAAACUUAAAGGAAUUGGCGGGGGAGCACCACAAGGCGUGAAG